UACGAAGGGGGCUAGCGUUGUUCGGAAUCACUGGGCGUAAAGCGCGCGUAGGCGGAUAUGUAAGUCAGGGGUGAAAUCCCGGGGCCCAACCUCGGAAUUGCCUUUGAAACUACAUAUCUAGAGACUCGGAGGGGAUAGCGGAAUUCCUAAUGUAGGGGUGAAAUCCGUAGAGAUUAGGAGGAACACCGGUGGCGAAGGCGGCUAUCUGGACGAGUACUGACGCUGAGGUGCGAAAGCGUGGGGAGCAAACAGG
rnacentral:rRNA from 1 species